rnacentral:rRNA from 1 species
CAGCCGCCGCGGGAAUACGUAGGUGGCAAGCGUUGUCCGGAAUUAUUGGGCGUAAAGGGCUCGCAGGCGGUUUCUUAAGUCUGAUGUGAAAGCCCCCGGCUCAACCGGGGAGGGUCAUUGGAAACUGGGAAACUUGAGUGCAGAAGAGGAGAGCGGAAUUCCACGUGUAGCGGUGAAAUGCGUAGAGAUGUGGAGGAGCACCAGUGGCGAAGGCGACUCUCUGGUCUGUAACUGACGCUGAGGAGCGAAAGCGUGGGGAGCGAACAGGAUUAGAUACCCGAGUAGUCCCUGUCUCUUAUAC